ensembl:lncRNA
CUUGCUUCGGGCUUCCUUCUGCAGAGAAGGUCCUGCGCUCUGCAGUGAGUGAGCCUGUGGUGCUCCUGGAGCAGACCAGAGCUUGCAGAGCCAGAGGAGACCUUCACUGUCUUCAUGUGCCUUCCCUGUAACAUUCACUGCCCUGGAGUGGCUGUGCUUGGCCAGCAUGUCAGAUCGGUAGGGCAUUAGAAAUAUUACAGGCUAUUAAAUACACUGUUGGAGUGUUUGGCUGGACUAACUGUUGCUUUUAACAGAGUUGAGAUCUGAGAUCUUUGGGUCUGACGGGGUUUGGAUGUAAACUUUGUUCAUUUGGUUUUUGAAGAAGGAAGUGCUUUGGUGCUUUGAAGGGAAAAAAAAAUGAAGGCAGUACUGCAAGUCUCUUCCUUAAAUCAAAGUUUGCUGUUUGAAAUGGGAACAACUCAGCAGAGCAGUUUAAGUAAACAUUGCCAUAACCGCUUAUCUGAGACACUGGCAUCCUCUCUUUUUGCUGUGCUGCUUUCUUGUGGUAUCCUGGAGUCGCUUUCAUAGAUGUAUACAUCUAUGUCCAUUUGCUAAUGCAACCGUUCCUGAGUCAUCUCAAGGUAGUGUUUAGCAGAGAAGAUAAAAUCAAGGCCAAGACAGCAAGUGCCUGAUGCUGUCCUGUUGGAGCCUAUGAGGGGUGUCAAUGAGCAUAGUAUAAACACCAGGAGAACUGCACAAAGUCAUGCAUGUGGGUGAGAGGUAAGGAAUUAGGUGCUGUCCUCUACCGUCAGUGCCUGAGCAUAGGAUCGUAUUUUUUUACUAGGUAGAAAAACUGCACCAUAUUGCACAAAUGGCUUAUUUAAAGCCUGGGUGUUUUUGCCUGUGUGUUAAAGCACUGGGUUUCUUAUCCACGGCACGCUGAUCCAUAUAAGUAACUUUUGUACACUUAAGUGGGCAAGAGGAAUAAAAUCAAUUAGGGAAGGAGAGGAGAAGACUCUGCCUCUCUGCCAGUUCUGUGAUGCUUCAGGUAAUGCUGCAUCAGGACAAGGCUGGUGAUCUCAGGUGCAUUUUAGUCAUAUUAUUUAAAAAAAAGAAGGCAAAAGACCAACGAUGUUCCUUGUUGAAUUGGUAUCCGAAAUGAAGAAGUUACUACACAUAGGAAUGUAAGUAUAUUCUACUGCCUCUGUCAAUCUAGCACACAGAAAGAGCUUCUCCUCUGUUUGGAUCCGCUCUUCUUUCAUAAUGGGCAGCAACUUGUUUACUAAUGCUUGAAAGCAUGUACACAUCAAAUAAAUCUCUGGUAUUUGGGCCAUAGUGUACUAGCAUUUUGCAAAGGGAAGAUUAACCACACACUAUAUUAAGCUGUGAUCCACUUUACUCUUGAUUCCUAGCUACAGUAAAUCAGUCAAACCAUCAAAGAACAAAAUUAGUGGAAGGGUUCCUCAGACAAUAGAUUUAUUUCCAUAUUUAUUUGCAUUAUUGUUAAGAAAAGGGCAAUCAGAAGAGCUAAUCUCUGUGGGACUCAGGCUGUUACAAAUUAAUCGAAGUG